rnacentral:rRNA from 1 species
GCCUGCCCAGUGAUAAAAUUCAACGGCCGCGGUACCCUAACCGUGCGAAGGUAGCAUAAUCACUUGUUCUCUAAAUAGGGACUAGUAUCAACGGCACCACGAGGGCUGUACUGUCUCCUUUCUCCAAUCAGUGAAACUGAUCUCCCCGUGAAGAAGCGGGGAUUAUUAUAUAAGACGAGAAGACCCCAUGGAGCUUUAAACUCAUCAUUCACUUCCUCACUCCUAUGCCCAACCUAUAUAAGGAAUCUGUGUGAUAGUUUUGGGUUGGGGUGACCACGGAGUACAAUUUAACCUCCAUGACAAAUGGGCUAACGCCCUUAUCUAUGAACUACAACUCUAAGAAUCAUAAGCUGAUGUUUAAUGACCCGAUAUUCGAUCAACGAACCAAGUUACCCUGGGGAUAACAGCGCAAUCUACUUCAAGAGCCCCUAUCGACAAGUAGGUUUACGACCUCGAUGUUGGAUCAGGGUAUCCUGGGGGUGCAGCCGCUCCUAAUGGUUCGUUUGUUCAACGAUUAAAACCCUACGUGAU